rnacentral:rRNA from 1 species
AUGGAAUCUUCUUCAUGGAAAAAGUGGCCCGAUCAUGUGCGGGAUAAAUGGCGUGAUGAUCUGAGAGAUAAAGAUUUUUGGUUUAAUGGAUACCGUAAGACACCUUCAUAUAUUGACUUGGUCAAUCGACUCACCUGGGGUUAUCACGUGUGUUGGAAUGUUGGGGUGGGGCCCAUGGCUUCAUUCACACCAGCCAUAUCAGGCAUGGCCAUGGAGAUACGGUACCGACGACAAUUCAAUCACGUGAUAAAGGUGGAUCUGAAGCCCACGCCAAUGGCAGAGGAGGCCCAAGGAAUAGGCUUCAUGAGCAUCAAGUACCAACUCGCCGUCGGUGCAGCAAAGGAGCUUGGCCUUCUCGACCAAGCAUACAACCAGUACAAAGAAAGGCACGACGAGCUACAGUACUACACCUACGGGUGCUAUGAUGGUGGUACCUCUUCAACAUUGGCGAGACACGUGCAGCAACAUAUAGUUUAUAAGAUCAUCAAUAAGUUGGUAACCGAGAAGUACUUGCUAGUGGCUCAGAACCUCCAGUGGCCAAUUGAGGCUCGCAGUUUUUCACGGCAUUGCGGCCUUCCUCUGCUCCCUUGGAUUGACGCCUUCAACUGGCACAUCUCGACCACUUCUCGUGAAGCCUGCAACAAGAGCAAGUUAGACGACGACAGAGUUAUAUCUAUUUACACAGAUGAAGAUGUUCUGUGUCUCACUCUCUACGCACUACAUCAAUCGGCCGAGCAAAUAUUCAUCAAGAUCUGCCAUGAAACCAAGGAGUAUUGGCAUUGCAUAGCCCUUGAUUGCUUCCACUAUGCCACGACAAUCUUUGGCAAGCAUUCGCAAGUGGUAGAUAUCACCUCAGAUGAGCUCAUCCACCAAUGGGCCGCCCAAGGCAUCUUGCCUUGUAUGAGCAUCGAGGGAGAGGAAACCAACACCAUCAGAAGCAAAUGUUCCUAUAUGCAUCGAGUUGGAAGGGUCGUCCUUGAAGCGUUUCAGAAGUACUCUUUGUUGCAGCUACCUUUUUAUCUUGCUACUGAAGCUUAUGAAGCCACCAAUACCGGCGCACAAUUCUUAGCAUAUCAUGGCCUCAUUGCAGAAGGCAGCAAAGUUGAUGAACUCUUUGAUAACAAUAAGAAAUGGAUUUCCUUCUCCGCUGACCAUGGAGUGCAUGUAAGCCGGAAAUGGUUUAGAGCAGAAGAAACAAGGGGCACAACUGCACUUAUUCUAAGAGGCUGCUCAGAUCAAUCGCCCGUUCUUUCCAAGCUGGACAGUUUCUUGCCCAAGCUUUCUUUUCUUCUUGUUCUUGAUCUCUCCUACACUCCAAUAAAAGCACUCCCUUCUUCCAUUGGCUGUCUGCAGAACCUACGGUUGCUCUCACUUAGAGGCUGCCAUGAUCUCAAAACUCUUUCUAGUUCAUCAGCAACAAGUAUUACUUCAUAUUCACCAUUGUCCACCCUAUACCAGCUUGAAAUUCUUGAUAUGAAUGGAGUUCCAUUUUCUCAUCUGACGCAAGAGCUUAUUCUCGCCACCUGCUCCAACCUUGUGGACCUACCUCCUUCAAUGGCUUCUCUAUACAGCUUAACCACCCUUGAGGUCACAGGGACUCAAAUAAAAUACUUCCCGCAGAAGAUAUUUGAAGAACUAAAGAAGCUACAACCGCUCAAGCUCAUUGAAAACAAUGAACUGAUUUCACUCGCAAGUCCAAUCUCUGGUGUCCAAGGAGUCAAAUUGGAAGGGCAUCCUACCCUUACAUCAUUCAUGUUGGUUGGCGCAACUCACAUAAGGUGCUUGUCUCUCCGUGGAUGUAGAAAACUUGAGUCUGUCGAGAUCAAUAAUCUUGGUGCCUUGGAGGAGCUUGAUUUGUCAGGUACAGCUACCAAGGAGCUCCCUGCAGAUAUCCCUAACCUUCCCAAGCUUAGGCGGUUGCUCUUGCUGGAUGUUCCGUCUCUGAGGCGAUUUCCUUGGCAUAGGUUGGAGCGACUUCCUGAUGUCUUUCAUUUGGACCAUUGUUCAGAAGGAAAUGGUAAUCACUCUAAUCAAGUUCCCCAAGUGUGUGUAACUGACCCCAGGUUCUUCCAUAGCUUCAGUGAGACUGUUGUGGAUUUCGUAAGAGAUGGACGGUUUCUCCAAUCAUUCAAUGUUCGAGUCGCACCAUGCAUUAAAAAUAGCAUGCGGCUGCAAGAUGAAGAAGCCAUUCUUGAUAGCAAGUUGCCGGAGUUGGUGCAGAAGCAAUCAACUUAUGUGGAUGUACAUAUGAGGUGUUAUGCAGAGGAAAUUGCAAUUGCAUCACCGAUUACAGUUCCCCUUAACCGAACUGAGCGCCACGUGGAGAUCACGUGGACACAAUCAGCAAUUGAUGGUUUAUUUUACCUUCUAAGCGUCAGUAAGUCAAUAUCGGUGUCAUGUGACACUGUUAUCAACUAUUUUCCUAGCUGGAUCAAUUUUCACGAGCUGGAAGAAUGUGAGCUACGUUGGUGCCAUAAAAUGGAAGGAGUUGUAUAUGGCACUCAAGGCAUGAAAAAACUACGCAAUAUGCAUGUUAUCUUUAGGGCCACAGCAUUGAUCCGUAUGUGGUCGCUACUCACUCCGACGGAGGCCAGGGGGCGUUUGGCUACUGCGUGUACCCGAUGGGAGAUGGUAGCUCGGGUUAUUUUCAACCGGUUUGGAUGGCGGUCAUGUAACAGGAUAGGCAUGUAG